AGUGAACGCUGGCGGUAGGCCUAACACAUGCAAGUCGACGGCAGCACAGUAAGAGCUUGCUCUUACGGGUGGCGAGUGGCGGACGGGUGAGGAAUACAUCGGAAUCUACUUUUUCGUGGGGGAUAAUGUAGGGAAACUUACGCUAAUACCGCAUACGACCUACGGGUGAAAGCAGGGGAUCUUCGGACCUUGCGCGAUUGAAUGAGCCGAUGUCGGAUUAGCUAGUUGGCGGGGUAAAGGCCCACCAAGGCGACGAUCCGUAGCUGGUCUGAGAGGAUGAUCAGCCACACUGGAACUGAGACACGGUCCAGACUCCUACGGGAGGCGGCAGUGGGGAAUAUUGGACAAUGGGCGCAAGCCUGAUCCAGCCAUACCGCGUGGGUGAAGAAGGCCUUCGGGUUGUAAAGCCCUUUUGUUGGGAAAGAAAAGCAGCAGGUUAAUACCCCGCUGUUCUGACGGUACCCAAAGAAUAAGCACCGGCUAACUUCGU
rnacentral:rRNA from 1 species